CAUCCAUCAAUUAAAACCAUCAAUACUGCAGACCAUUAUCAUUAUGAUUUUCAUCACUAAUAUUAUCAAAAAUAAUUAUAAUAAGUGUAAAAUAUUUUUUUAUCAUUUUCAAAAAGUAAAAUUAUGUUUUUAAAAAAUUAAAAUUUUGAAAGUAACACCAAAUCUAAAAAAAUAUAUAUAAAUAAUCUUUUUAAGAAAAGAUUAAGUAGAUAGAUAAACUCGUGCAACUCU
rnacentral:lncRNA from 1 species